ensembl:lncRNA
AAUGUGAUACACACACACUUCCCAGGAUAAUCCAGUAGAUACAUGAUUCACCUGUUCUAAUAACUUAAAAUCACUCAUAAAUCAAGAUUAUGGCGCGUUGUAUCACGUCAUUACUGUUAAAUGACACAAUUAAAUACAACAUAAUCGGGCAUUUUGAACAUCAAACUAAAAAAUGAAUCUUGCAGGAAAGUGCCACAAUAAACUGCCACAUUGACAAAGACCUCGGGUCGUAAAUAAGGUCACAUCAGUCUAUGUCAUCACCACACAUGAAACGCAAUGUACCUCCAUUAUAUAAAACAUGCAGAAGAAUCCUUUCCAAGUAAAUAAAGCGGCCCUCGCAGGUGUGAGAAGCUCAGAAAGCAGCGGGCGAAUUCGGGUUGGAGGUUGCGCGUGAGCCAUCUGCCCCGUACUCCCGCCGGGCUUCCUUAAUCACACCCCGCAGGAGGCUUUUAUUUCACGGUGGGGGAUUCAAGUCCCACGUCCCUCACAGUGAACCGAGUCGAGUUUAACUGUGAACCAACGCCGAAAUUGUCCAGUCAGCUAAAAGUACUUCAGUUUAAUUUGACGUUUCCGACACGUCGCGGUAUAAUUACAUAAUUGAAUCCGAGCCAUGGGUGCUGUCUCUUGGGAGGUUAAACCCUCACUGAGAAGCAAACGCGAUACGCUUUCCCGACCACUCACAUGUAACUAACGUUCAAACGCAGCCCCCCCAGUCCAGACGCUCCCGGGCAGCAAAACAGGCGCCCCCUCGUCGCCUGGCUACUCCGCCUGUCAGUUAGCAGGCUGGCUAGACGCUCCGGCUAAAAAACAUCGCUUCGGCCAUUGGCUCAGUCCAAGCGGACCGGGGCGCCUCGCCAGGCGGGCGGCGACUGUCGGAGAAACGCGGUUAAUCGACCGCGGCCCCUUCCGGGCGGAAUCGGAUCGCGGCACAUCGGAAACACAUUUCAUUCAUAGAACCUUUCGUAAAAUGUGUGUUUUGCUCGGCUUCAACUUACAUGGGCGCUGAGAGGAUUGUGUUGAUGACCGUUCAUUUCUCCCGAUGGUGGAACACUCCCACGGUGACGUCAGAUAGCGUGCUCGACGUCAGAACAGCUGAGCAGCGGACAGAAACCUGUCCGGUGAGAUCCGUGCAGGUGAUGCGGGUAAUCCUGUGUCGUACAGUCAAUAGAUUAGAUUUGUGUUCUGAACGGGUUUUGAUGUCAUGUUUGAUGACUAAUUAAAGUGUUGUCAGACUCAAAUAAUGACCAUCUUUAGGCCAACAACAUUUUCAAGGCAAUGCUGAGAAGGCUUUGGAGUAUGUAAAGUUGACAUUACUCACAUUUGUCAAGCUACAACCCUGGAGGUCUUUGCCCGUCAACGUUAUUGUUUCCCAACAAACGUCAAUCAAAAAAUUAAUAAUUUAAUUGAAAUUCCUCUUAUUAUAUCCAAGGUUAAUUAAAGGUGCGGCUAGUAAAAUGGCUAGGUGCACUUGUAUAGGCAGCGAGAGGAUUGGUUUGUGUUUGUCGCUCUGAGAGGGAUACUUAGGGGGAUGUAACACAGGGAUCUGGUAGGUCUGGUGAUAUGAAUUACUGUUGUGGGACUGAAGAGCUUGAGAUUGACCUUGCGGUGGUUUUAAGAUUUGCGAGGAAGAAUAUUGAGAGGGCAUCUACUGAGAGAACUUUGGAUAUUGUGGCAUAAAUAAGAAUGCAGGGUGCUGAGCUGCAGGUGCCUCUUUGUUUUCAGUGUUUGACUGUGUAACGUCACUGGAGGGAAGCCGUGGAUGCCGAGGCAAAGUCCCGCAUCCCUAAUGUUUUGGACACUUUGGGUCAGUUACAUACCCUUGCGUAACUCUUUUCUAUUAAUGUAUAUACAUUUGACACUUAAAUGACAUACUUGUUUUAACAUACUCAUUUGUUUUUGUAUAAUAUGACAAUUUCCCAAUUUCCUUUUUUAAAUUCUGUCUUCCACUGUUGCACUGUGCUUAUUGUUAUGCACCCAUCACCAAGGCAAAUUAUGUCUAAAAUAUACUUCAACGGCAAUAAACCGUUUAUGAUUCUGAGUAAACUGCUCAAGAUGCUGCGGGAACUGGCUAUUGCCUCCAGGUCCAAUGUCCGGUAUAUAGGUAUGUGACUCCGAGCUCAAUAUCCUCCUUCCUGGGAAUAGAUACUUUUCAUCCUGCAAAUUGAGCAAAUCAAUGUGUAAAUUUGCCAUUUGUAAUCACAAGAGGGCCCACCAUACCCUGAUCUUUCUGCUAAACCCUCUUGAUUGACCAAUCGGACAGUUUUGUGCAAAACUCAAACUUAAAAUUGACUAAGUGCAGGAUGGAAGAAAUAAGCUUAGCGAUUUAUUGGGCCGAGAUAAGCAAAAGGUUCUUCUUUAGAUAUGAAUAAUGAGGCUACUGUUUGUGUACAUGUAUAAUUUGUCCUGCAGGACAAAUCAAACAUUAGAACAAAAUAAAUGCAAUUCUCAAUAUUUUAAUGCAGCAUUUCUGCAAAUGACUUUUAUCAUGGUAAUUCAUAUGAAGUAAUUUUAUAUGAUGAUAUACACAAUGAGAACAAGCAUGCAGCUUUCACUUAUUAUUAAGGUAAGCCAAACAAAAACACUAAUCUGAUGGCGAGAAGUGUUUUGAUGAGGCAAUGUCUUGCAGAAGAGUCUGUCCACAUUAUGUGAUUCAUUUCAUGGAGUCUGGAUAACAAAGACUGGGUCGUUAGAAGUGGUGCUCCUGACAAAAGAGACAGCUAAGAGCAGCUGGAGACUCAACACACUACCAGGCGACUGUAUCGGCACUUUAGAUGUAGAUGUAUACUCUGUAUCCAACUUCCACCAGUACCAAACAUAAACUGGAGGCGAAGGUAUUGUACCUACAUUUCCAUCAGUCGUGUCUUGUGUCCAAGAGGGAUGUAGGGGUGUGAUCAGACCUCCUGCUAAAGGCUGUCCCUGGCGAAUGCGUCUUCAAUGCGGCGCCUGAGGUUAACAGGCGUUGGCGUUCUAUCAGACAAAGAAUACAUUUGCAUACACCAACUUUUUGCCCCAUCAGCGUCAGAGCUGCUGCUGCUAACUGGAUCAAGCUGGUAUGCUGGAGUCUGUUGAUCAUCGUAUGGACUCAUCAAGUUGUUGGUGAAACCUUUUAUAGACAUAUAGAUAUAGUUUGCCAGUUACAUACACUCAGGUCUACCCAGGCUUUCUUAGAGGCCCUUUCCAAAUGUUUUUCAAGAAUCUACCCUACAAGCUGGUCUCCUCCACCGCUUUAGGCACUUCACUUCUGUUCGCCCCUUGAAUGAUCUCUUAACAGUGUCCAGAAGUUGCAGGAUCCCAUGACAACCAAAGAAAAUGCCUGAGCUAACUCAAGAAUUCUGGCCCAAAACUGACUGAGCCACCAACCCCAGCCCGAGCGCCUCCACUUCCCUAACACAGUUGUCACUCACUUUGCACACUUCUCAAUGCCCUGUGGAGAAAACCCACUGGCGUAGAAGACAUGAGAAAUGGAUGUAGAUGAGUGAAAGACUCAUGAACCCCAUGCAGAAUGGAAGUCCAAGGGGAGCGAAGGUAACCCAUGCCCAGAGAAGGAGCUGCAGAGCAACAUUGUGGAGGGCUGCCAGAGAAGCACGAGAGAGGAACAGACGGGUGCAAUAAGGAUCAAGCAGAAGGACUGGGAGUACAGGGCUGUCCAAUCCUCAAAAUGAGAGACAGUGAGAAGCAGAAAGAGGAAAAGUUAAAAAAUAAAUAUAAAAACAUGCUGGAGAAAUCAAUUUAUAAACCUGUAUUUUGAAUUAACUGUAUUUUACAAUGUAGCUAUGGAUAUUUUCAAAUAAGUACUGAUCAUAUUUUGUAAGCC